rnacentral:rRNA from 1 species
CCUACGGGUGGCUGCAGUGGGGAAUAUUGCACAAUGGGGGCAACCCUGAUGCAGCAACGCCGCGUGAGUGAAGAAGUAUUUCGGUAUGUAAAGCUCUUUCAGCCGGGACGAGAAUGACGGUAGCUGCCUAAGAAGCACCGGCUAACUACGUGCCAGCAGCCGCGGUAAUACGUAGGGGGCGAGCGUUGUCCGGAUUUACUGGGAGUAAAGGGAGCGUAGGCGGUUCUGUAAGUUAGAAGUGAAAGGCCGUGGCUUAACCGCGGAACGGCUAUGGUGACUGUGUAACUGGAGUGCUGGAGAGGCUAGCGGAAUACCUAGUGUAGCGGUGAAAUGCGUAGAUAUUAGGAAGAACACCAGUGGCGAAGGCGGCUUGCUGGACAGUAACUGACGUUGAGGCUCGAAAGCGUGGGGAGCAAACAGGAUUAGAUACCCUGGUAGUC